CUUUUGAAAAUCUGUUGUUUUUUAUAUAAGACCUUAGGAGACUUUAAUUCUAAUCACUUCCUCCAGAUAUCGGUGCUAUUUUAUAAAUGUUCUUAUUUAUCUUUAACCAAUGGAAUUCCUAAUAUUGUUUUACACAGGUUAUGUCUGUUUAGUUGCACAUAUUCUCCUCCCUCUGCUUCCUCCUGCAUCUCAAGUACACCGCCACACCCAGCAUGCAAUUCUGGGCCCAAGAGUACCUGCGAUUGGAACAUAGCACCAAGGAGGCAAAAAUCAUGGACUUAUUCACAGGAAGGACAGGGAGAAAAAUUAUCUCCACGACUGCUGAAUGCCUUUAACCUCAACUUGCAACUAGGCAAAGAUGUUUGCCUAAUCCAACCUGGUUGCCUAAGGCCAACCCAAGAGAAAUCCUGACCGCCCAUCAGUACUUCCUAAAAAAAUGCCCUUAACAUUCAGGCCCUGCUGGUGGUGAUGUCAUCUUCCUGAAGUCAGCAUGUUCCAUUUUUCGUAAGCAUUAUCAUAACGUUUCCUGGCUGGAGUCUAGAAUGCCAAUUCUCUCUCUCAUUGCUCUUGCUACGUCACUCCUAAAACCAGCUUGAUGUGCCGUUGAAGACAAGAUUCCAGUCUAUCCUAAUGACAGAGAAGAGAAUUUCUCAAAACCUUGAUUUUCUAUGAGAAACUUUGAACUCUUCCUAUUCAUGCUUAUUUAUAAUUUAUUUGAAUAAAUCCUCUUAUUACUCAACUGAACAGGAAACCUAAACUUUGACUCAGUGGAUGCCUGGAGAACAAACGAGGUCAGGAAAGUGGGAUGUAAGUGGAGUUUCCUUACAGGGAGUGCUCCUGGUCCAAUGGGUCUUAUUUCUAGUUGGCACUCUUUUUUUUUUUUUUUUUUUUUUUGAGACAGAGAUUUGCUCUUGUCACCCAGGCUGGAGUGCAAUAGCACGAUCUCCGCUCACUGCAACCUCCACCUUCCGGGUUCAAGUGAUUCUCCUGCCUCAGCCUCCUGAGUAGCUGGGAUUACAGGCACAUGCCACCACACCCAGCCAACUUUUGCAUUUUUAGUAGAGAUGGGGUUUUGCCAUGUUGGCCAGGCUGGUCUCGAACUCCUGACCUCAGGUGAUCCACCUGCCUCGGCCUCCCAAAGUGCUGGGAUUACAGGCGUGAGCCACCAUGCCCAGCCCUACUUGGCACUCUUUUGCUGCUGUGUUUUUUCAUUCUUUUAUUUUUUCUUUCCUUUAUUUUUGCUUUUCUAAUCAAUAACUCACGGAGCACAAAGGGGAGCUCACACCGGCUCCUUGAUUUGCUGUAUACAUCACUUGAAGUGUUACAUUUUAGAACCUAAUUUUUAAAAAUCAUUUACACUUCAGGGUAGAAAAAUAGCAACAUUACUAGAAGAUUCAAUUAAAUUAUCCCAGGUUAAUGUGUUCACUGUCAGCAAUGAAUAACCACAAGUGUAUAGCCAAUGAAUAGACUAUAAAGCUCUAUUUCUUUCGCAGAUCUAUAGUCUAUUCUGUGGGCAUAUUAAAAUAUAUUUUCUAAUAAAAAAAAGAGACACGCUUUUGUUUACUCUUUUUCACAGCAAGUUACUACCUAUCAUUCCCAGGACAAUGGUUUCCUUAAAACUACAAUAGCUUUUAUCUCUUCAAGCCCCAGAGGAC
rnacentral:lncRNA from 10 species